rnacentral:rRNA from 1 species
UAUGUAGGGUGCGAGCGUUAAUCGGAAUUACUGGGCGUAAAGCGUGCGCAGGCGGUUUUGUAAGCCAGGCGUGAAAUCCCCGGGCUCAACCUGGGAAUGGCAUUUGGGACUGCAAGGCUGGAGUGCGGCAGAGGAGACUGGAAUUCCUGGUGUAGCGGUGAAAUGCGCAGAUAUCAGGAGGAACACCGGUGGCGAAGGCGGUUCUCUGGGCCUUACCUGACGCUGAGGAGCGAAAGCGUGGGGAGCGAACAGG